CCGGUUGCCCUGGAGCCCUGUGGAAGCUAAGAAGGCGAGGAGUCUCUGCUCCUUUCCCCUGCCGGAUUUUUGCUUCAGCUGCGGCGCAGUCUGACCGAGCAGCUUCGAGGGUCUUCCGCCAGCGGCUUGUUGGUGCAGUGGAAUCCCCCAGGGAGCUGAGCAGUUCGUGGAAUCUUCUUACCGGUACAGUUUUCACUGUUGCUUGUGUUACAGUGUGAGGCUGGCCUGGGAACUGGUGUGAAGACCGCAGCCCUCGCUGCAGGGGGGCCCAGGGAGCCGGAAAAUCGGUUGCAGCACGCGUGUCUGUGAUGCUCCCCUUUUCUGAGGUCUGCAGCUGCCGCCUGGAGGAGAUCUAGCAGAGCCAUUUAUCAAACACACACAAUUAAGGCCAGCGUUGGCCGAGAUCUAUUCCAGGAGCAGAGCGGAGCGGAGCAGAGCCUGGGGUUGGGGCAAGUGACGCAAGUGACGCAAGUGACGCAAGACGGGUCGUCCAAUCGGACCAAGGUCCUCCAGUGAGGGCGGAGCGAGCGUUGGAGCCUGGGUGGUCAAAUUUAGGCCCUGUGCUUCAGACCUCGCCUGGACAACCAGAUAUGAAAAUAGAGAUUUUUGGCUGAGUGUUGGCCCGGGAGACACCGAGACUGUAGAUAUUAGACAGCAGAGAGAAGGAGGCCAGUUGUCAUGGGAAGAGUUUACCAAAGACAAUUUCGAGAGCUGGUUCCGCGAUUCCCCGGCUCCACGGCCAGAUCAAAGGAGCCUCCACAAGGAAGCGAAGUCCCAGAGGAACGGACCCGUGUAUGUUUGCAUGACGUUUGAUGAGGAGCGGACAGCUGUGGAGGAACGUGAUACCGUGAGGUACGUGUUGUAAACUGCGGGCAUCCAGAGAAGGCUGUUUGUGAGCGUUCUUCUGGGUGAUUCCCUGGUCUUCAGAGAUGAGGACGUUCCUCUCCUCCAGGUCUAAAGAGGGCGCCACUCACAUGGUCUGCUUCACGAAAGAAGGGUGGAGGGGCCGGUGCUCCGACUUAGCCUUCUGACCUGCCAUAUUCUCAGACUCCUUCAGUGUAAAAUACUCAGUAUGCCAAGGUGCCAUACUUUGCGGGGAGUGGGUCUUAGACCCCGUCUCAGGAAACAAACCAAUAUCCUGGGGUGUGCUUUCUGUGGGCACCAAAGCUGCUAAGCCUCUCCAUUUAUUUUGGAGCUCUCCAUUUAUUUUGGAGCUCUCCAUGGGUCUGACCCAAGUUUCGGAACCUACUUUUCUUAUCUCUUCUAACCCUCCUUCCUCGACACACGCACACUCUCCACCUUUAGCUCUUUGGAGCCAUAGAGUUAUGAAAUGUCAGACUAUGAAAGAGGCCCUGGGCCAGAAACGACACACACCUUCCUGACGAUGCGCAAGACAGACGUUACCAAUGCAUCAUGGUAAUGUCCCAUGAAGCUCCGUGUCUACCUCAGAAUCCUUCCCAACCCAGCAUUCCUGUGAGACAAAGUCUAGUUUACAGAUGCUUUCUUUGAAGCUUUAAAAGUCAACUCUGAAUCCCAGAGAAAUGAAGUCACUCUUCCAAGGUCACACGGCCGCUGGGUGACUAGGGGAAGAUGGGCAACAGGCUCUCCUACCCGGGCCUUUGCUCUCUCUCUCUCUCCUGAGCCAGGGUUUCUGAGACUUUGCCCAUUUAUUCACUGUCUUCUCGGACCUCGUUGUCUUGACCGGCGAUCUCUCGCCGUCUCAUUCUUCAUCCACCGCCCACGGACUACCACGUGGUUUACAAGACCCCAGACCCUUCUCAGACAGAAUCUUAGCGAGUGGCUGAUCCACACGGAGCCACGGCCAAGAGAAGCAGCUUUGUUUGGGAUGCGAUCCACAUCGGGAAAGAAUGCACCCAUCCUGCGGUCCAGAUCUCUCCCCAACGGCUGGAAUCGAGGGCCCGGAGUCCCCGCGGCCAUCCAUGACCACUGAGACGGCCCAGGCUGGGGGCCCGUGUUGUUUUGUUAUGACGGCUUAUCCUGCCGUGAGCCGUUCUGUGCCCCUCGCUGACCGCUCACCUUCUGGUGCAGGCAUCGGCUCAGCGAUGAAGAAAUGCACAAGCCCGCGGGCCAUCACCGGCAAAUGUCCGGUUUUCAUGCUGCCUGGAGGGUGCGGUUUCUGGGGCAGUCCAAGGUACCCCAGGUGCACCAAGGGAUGACGGGGAACCCACAGGAAGGGACACCUGAUAAGCCAGGAGAAGGUUCAGAAGGAUGGAAAGGUUGCUCUGUAGCGAGGGAACGGCAGCAACGAACGCACAGAGGCGUAAGGGAGCGGUGAGUUUAGGAGCAAUACAGACAUUUCCGAUUGUUGGAGGUAUGCUGUGAGGCCGGGGCAAGUGGCAGGUGACGGAGUGGAGAGAGAGAAAAAGGAAACGAGCCAGCGAGCAAAAAGUAUCCGUAACAUGCCACACGGUAAUAGGAGCAAAGGCAAAAGUCAAGCAGAGGUGGGGACAGAGCUGGGGAUGCUGUAGGUAGGUGGGUGGUCAGGGAGGGCUUCUCUGAGGAAGGGACAUUUGAGCCGCCGUGUGAGCUGUGCAAGGGUCCUCUCCCACCUGAUCUCAUCUGGUCCUCGUGACCGCGUGAAAGGAAGGCCGCAGACAAGGACCCUACCGCCCCAGGGCUGGGCCUGGGCUGGGGAGUGAGUUUGAGGCAGAGCGGGGCCCAGGAUCCGGCGCUCCAGACACCCAAGGCAGGGGUCCUUCGAGCUCAGAGUGGCCUCCUCCGCCAAAUGUGGGCUUCGGCCCAGCCCAAGACCUCUCCUCGGUCUCUGCAGCCUUGUCACCCACGACCCUACCCAGCAGCAAGACGAGGUUAAGACGGGCUCUGACAUCAGACAGGUGCAGCUCUAAUUCCAGUCUCUCCUAUUAGCUGCUUCAUCUGGAGCAAGGAAGCCUCAGUGUUUUCCCCCGUGAAAGGGGGUAAUCGAGCAUCUUUCUCGUGGAACACCGGACGGUACAAGCAAAGCCCUUAGCACCGCGCCCGGCACACGUAGACGGGGCUUAUGGAACGCGAGGUACCGGCCAUCUUGGCGCACAGGGCUCCCCCGCCUCCUCGAACCAUCUGAGUGAUGACCACACGGCCGCUGCCCUCGGCUGGGCCCUGGCGGGCUUGGCUCGGUGCGACAGGUCGGGCUGUUGUAGAGCGACCCCAGCCCCCUUGUCUCGAGGUGGGACCCGCUGUGUCCCUUCUAUGCCCUGUCACAUCUGAUGCACCCUCCUCGCCUUCCCUUCUGUUUGCCCGGUGCUUCCUGCUUUCAGACCUGCUCACUUUGCUCCCUAAUAGGCAUCGCUGACAGACAUUAUGUUUAGUUCCUUGUUCCCUUACGGCCGUCUCCCCUGACAGAAGUUGGACACCCCGAUGACGGAGAUUCGGGGCGCUCUGUGCGCGGCUGCAGGUCUGGCGCCCAGAACGUGACCGACUCCCAGUAGGUCCUGGAAACAUGGUGGUUGAACGGGUGGAUGAAGAAAUGGAACAAAUGCGCCGUGGAUGUCCGUGGCCACGGGCCAUCUCCCCGGACAGCCUGUGUUAUUUUCUUUCAGGCCACGGCUGCAGAAGGUCAAGGGUCUGGUCCAUUUCCUUAGCCAUCCUGACCUUGGCCCGAAGGCACUCGGCCCUGGGCACGGGAGGGCCUCCUUCCAUGCACCCGUGUUCCCUCCAGGCCAGCGCAAGGGGGACCCUGUCUUUCUUCCUAGCUCUCAGGCCAGGUCCAUGAGGAGACAACAGGAGGGGAAGACAGAUAAGCCUAUGAGGCCUCUGGGGACCCAGAAGGGCCCACGUCUGCACCUGUCACCCCUACUGCACGGCCCUGCUCCUCACUCCAUCACCACUUCAGUCUCCGUUAAGAAACUGGCGGUGGAGUCCGAAUCCCCAGGGGUUUGGACUCGUGGGCGCCACGUGCAGCGAUGAUCCCGCCAGCCUCGAAAUCAGGCCCAUGGAGCCCCACCCGCGGGUGCAGGAGGCGGGGAGAGUGGGACAGGGGGCAAUAUGGGGCAGUGCGACUCAGUCGAGGGGCCGCAGCCCAAACAGCAGCUGUUUCCGUGAUUCAGCAAAGAGCCGGGUGGGGGUGCUGAUGGCUGGGGCGGGCCGGGACUGGAGCUGAGUGAGAGGAGUCAGGGAAGGGGGGGGGGGUGGGACACGGGUCACCCUGCACGCAGGCCCGCAGCCACUACUUUUGGGUCCUGCCCCCGCAUCACCUUGGCCCCGUGGGCCUGCCUUCACCCCCGUGGCCUGUUGCCACAUGUAGGUUUCACUGUUAUCCAGGUAUGGUGAGGCCAGCAGAUCGGGGCAUAGUCUGCCGCCCGCAGAUCCCACGAGGAGGGGACCGUCACAUCAUGGGGAGCCACGCAGGGAAGCAGCAGGCGGGUCAGGACGCAGCGCGAGUGGGAGGGAAGCGUAGGGGCAAGACCCUGUAUUGUGGUUUCCGCAGGGAAGAGUGGGUGGGCAGGUAAGCAGGCGAGUUUGAGUAAUUUCAUUGGGCUCUGGGGCCCAGGAACUGUCGCUAGUUGUCUGGUAUCUGGCCCCGGGGUGAUUAGGACAGGUGGGUAGCGGCCCAGAUAUGAGGGAUAAAUGAGGUGGCUGUAAUAUGUCUCUGUUUGGGUUGCCCCUAACAGGCACACUCACAGGCCAGUGGUUUGCGCUCUCAAGGAACUGGCCAGCCCAGGGCGGGGUCGUCCCUCCAGGGUCACAAAGGCCCCAGAUGUCAGAGCAUCAGAAAUGCAUGGGUAAUACACACCCCCUACCCUCGUUCUCCAGACUCCCCUGGGGGCGGCACUCGGGCCACGGUUGAGCCCCAGCGCCGGUCUGACGACUGGGGGGAGGGGGGGGGCUCUUGGCAAAUGGUGGGUGGAUGAGGGGCCACCAUGGACCAGGCACGGUGCCGGGCACUGGGGGACAGAACAGUGAACAAGAAGGCAAGAUCUCUCCUCUCAAGGAUUUUAUGCCCUGGAGGCACGGCGGACCCCGAACCAGUAAACAAACAGAUAAACGAGAGGGGGCCUCGGUUACUGGGAAGUGCGAUGGCGAAAUGAAACGCCAAGAUGUUACGGCCUCCGGGCAGGAUGGAAGGAGAGGGGCUCCAUCGGGAAGGGCGGUCAGCGUAGCCUCUCUGAGGAGGUGACCGUUGGGCUGAGACCUGAAUCUUGACAAGGAGCCACGCAAAGAUUUCGGGGCAGAAUAUUUUAGCGGGGGGAAAACGCGAAGGAACGAAUAAAUGAAAGACCAAAUCCG